GCGCCGAGCGCGGGCGAGCAAGCCUUUUCUGGCCUCUGCAGCUGCGCGGGCAGGCGGGCGGGCGCGGUUGCCGGGGACGCGCGGCCCCGGGUCGGGCAUUGCAGGCGGCGAAACGACUCGGGAAGGCCCUUUCGGGAUAAUAGUCCGGUUCCUGAUGUACUUGUCAUAUAAGUUGCGGGCAGCAGAGCUAGACAGAGUCUCGCUCUGUCACCCAAGCUGGAGUACAGUGGUACAAUCUCGGCUCACUGCAACUUCUGCCUCCCGGGUUCAAGCGAUUCUCCUGCCUCAACCUCCCAAGUAGCUGGGAUUACAGAAGUGCACCACCACACCUGGUUAAUUUUUGUAUUUUUAGUAGAGACGUGGUUUCACCAUGUUGGCCAGGCUGGUCUCAAACUUCUGACCUCAAGUGAUCCACCCACCUCAGCCUCCCAAAGUGCUGGGAUUACAGGCAUGAGCCACCACGCCUGGCCAGAGUUUUCUUGAUAGAGGUCUUGUAAUUAUUUGAAUUAGAAAAUUUUCUGUUAAAAUAUGUCCACAAAUUCUUUGGUAACCCUCCCUUCAAGAAGUAAAGCCUAAUUCCCUUCC